rnacentral:rRNA from 1 species
UACCAGCACCCCGAGUGUUCGGGACGAUUAUUGGGCCUAAAGCAUCCGUAGCCGGUCCUACAAGUCUUCCGUUAAAUCCACCUGCUUAACAGAUGGGCUGCGGAAGAUACUAUAGGGCUAGGAGGCGGGAGAGGCAAGCGGUACUCAGUGGGUAGGGGUAAAAUCCUCUGAUCCAUUGAAGACCACCAGUGGCGAAGGCGGCUUGCCAGAACGCGCUCGACGGUGAGGGAUGAAAGCGGGGGGAGCAAACCGG